CAGAGAAGAGAGGCACGAGGUUUGUCAGAGGCACGAUUUUAAACCCUAAUAUAGAGAGAAAAGAGGCACGACACUUUCAGAAAGCUCAAAAUUUGAAUUGGAAUUUGAGUGAGAAGGUGUUGGUGGAAUUGAGAAGUGAAAAGCGAAUAGAAAUGCGGUGGAGAUUGCUCCAUGGAUGGGAAGCCUAACCCAGAUUCCUCCUUCCCGGACUUCCUCUGCCACGUUCAAGCCGCCCUGAAACGACACCGUCCCCUCGGUACAACGCACGCUGCUUCCUCAACGAACCAACUCUCUACAACAACCACCACCACCUUCUUCUCACAACCUAGAUCCUCACAAGAAAGUCCACUUUUCAACUCCAACCACCACUGCUUUGCACGAAAUGGAGUGGGUUGAAGGCAACCAAGUUGAAGCGUCGUCGUCGAUUGGAUUCCACCAGCAAGGGAAUGUUCACAAGGGUUCAAAGGUGUUAAAACUAGAGAGGAAGAGUUUGGAGUAUCUUCUUGGUCAUUUUUGUGAGAUUACUGCAAACAAAGAGUAUGU